AUUGAACGCUGGCGGCAUGCCUUACACAUGCAAGUCGAACGGCAGCACGGACUUCGGUCUGGUGGCGAGUGGCGAACGGGUGAGUAAUAUAUCGGAACAUACCUUGUAGUGGGGGAUAACUAUCCGAAAGGAUAGCUAAUACCGCAUACGCUCUAAGGAGGAAAGCGGGGGAUCGUAAGACCUCGUGCUAUAAGAGUGGCCGAUAUCUGAUUAGCUAGUUGGUGAGGUAAAGGCUCACCAAGGCGACGAUCAGUAGCUGGUCUGAGAGGACGACCAGCCACACUGGAACUGAGACACGGUCCAGACUCCUACGGGAGGCAGCAGUGGGGAAUUUUGGACAAUGGGGGCAACCCUGAUCCAGCAAUGCCGCGUGAGUGAAGAAGGCCUUCGGGUUGUAAAGCUCUUUUGUCAGGGAAGAAACGGUUGUGGCUAAUAUCCAUGGCUAAUGACGGUACCUGAAGAAUAAGCACCGGCUAACUACGUGCCAGCCGCCGCGGUAAUAC
rnacentral:rRNA from 1 species